UGUAUGUAUUCGGGAUCACGC
rnacentral:siRNA from 1 species